rnacentral:rRNA from 1 species
UAGUCCACGCCGUAAACGAUGUCAACUAGGUGUUGGGGCGGUUAAUCGUCUCAUUGCCGGAGCUAACGCAUUAAGUUGACCGCCUGGGGAGUACGGUCGCAAGAUUAAAACUCAAAGAAAUUGACGGGGGCCCGCACAAGCGGUGGAGUAUGUGGUUUAAUUCGACGCAACGCGCAGAACCUUACCUGGUCUUGACAUCCCGAGAAUCUUUUGGAAACAAGAGAGUGCCUCUUUGAGGAAUUCGGUGACAGGUGCUGCAUGGCUGUCGUCAGCUCGUGUCGUUAGAUGUUCGGUUAAGUCCGAAAACGAGCGCAACCCCCGGGUCUAGUUAUACGUGUCUAGACCGACUGCCCUCGGCAAGAGGGAGGAAGGUGGGAUGACGUCAAGUCAGCAUGGCCUUUAUGUCCAGGGCUACACACACGCUACAAUGGCGCGUACAAUAGGUUGCGAACCCGCGAGGGGGAGCCAAUCCACUAAAGCGACGUCGUAGUUCAGAUUGUAGGCUGCAACUCG